rnacentral:lncRNA from 1 species
AUAUAUAUCAUUAAUUAAUAUCCUUAAUACAAUAUCCCAGGUUAUCUAACUUUAACAUAACAUACAUACCUUCAGAUAUACAAAAUAUUUUUCACACAAUUAACAUACUAAUUAAAGUUAUAAUAACUACUCUGGCAUUUUGUCCUUGCCCUUGUCCUUAUCUGCCCCUCCUGCUACCUCAUCAUUAGCUGAAAUGUUAUAUUUAAGCAAGGGUGAGCAACGAUUUUGCUCUGCAAGUUAAAACAUUCAAUAAGAAAUAUGAAUCAAGAAUAUUAAAGUCUAGAUUCGAUAAGAAUUCAAUAAUACUCAACAGAUUUGGAAGUAGCUGAAUAAAUCGUUUAUCAAUAACAAGACUUUAUCGACUUUCACGCUAAACAACAAUUCAAUGAUGAAAGAGUAAAACUCUUACGAAGUUUCAAUACCGCUCAAUUGAUUAACAAGAGAUAAUAAUACUACAAUAACAAAGUCGGAUAUACCCAGAUUUUUAUGCCGAGUGAUCACAAUUUGAUCAUGAACUCUUAGGGGAAUUACCAGUAUACAAUACCAAACCCUAGAAUUAUAAGUUAGCUAUAAAAACUACACUAUAACUCUUUGCAAGUACCUGGAGCGGCCAACCCCUUUGUACCCGAUAUUAUGAAUAAUACUCCAACAUAGCGCAACAGCCGGAUGUCCGACCACAAGUUUCCCUUUUAUAUAAAGGUUGUUCAUCUCAGUCUUACAUCAAGAGUCUGUACCACAACAAUACGGUUUGGAUUUAAAAAAAUGCUAUGAUUUCAACAUCUAAUAUCUAUAUCAAUCUAGCCAAAAUAAUUGGCAUUGAUCUUUCAAUAACAACCUAGUUCAAAUACUAGAACGUAUCAAGUUUUAAUAAAUAUUUAUCUCACCAAAAAAAAUUAGCUAAGCCCUAGCUCAAAAACUGUUCAAUAAUAGACAGAAAUCAAUUGCCCUAUUUACAAUCAAUAAUACUAUUUAUAGAUAUGAAUAACUAACAAUAGUUAUUCACCAGUCACGCUUUUGAAAUGUAAAGCUCAAUUUAAGUUAACGAACUUGCACUAAUUGCGGAUGAUCAAUAAUAAUCCUAUAUGUGGUAUAAUCAGAAAUAAUUACCGACUUAACAUGAUGAUAAAUAAUAAUUCGAAUUUAAGUCAAAGAAAUUACAAUACAUACGAAUAUUCAAUAACAAUCUUAGAUGCAGAAUAAUCAUCAAUAAUUAUCUACUGACAUGUUUGAAAAAUAAUAACUCAAGCUUGAGUUAGGAAACUUGCCUUGGUCGUUGACUACUACUACACAAUAUAACUUAGAUGCGUUUAAAAGACCUAUAAUCAAUAAUAUUGGUCUCGCAAUUAGCGUAACAUAUUAUAACUCAUAACAAUACUAUUCUUGUAAUAAAUUAUCUAACAUGUACUCAUGUAAUCAAACAUUUAAUAAUACCUUAAUUAUUAGGAAUAUUAUCAUUCUUUAAUAAUACUAUUACCAUAUAACCAUUGUCUUAAAUUCUUGUCCAAUAUUAUUAAUCAUUUAAUAAUAUUUUAUUCACUUUCUAAUAUUAUUAACCAUUUAAUAAUAUUUUAACCCCAUAUUAAUAUUAUUAAUUAUUUAAUAAUACUUUAAUCACUUGAUAAUAUUAUUAAUCACUUAAUAAUAUUUCGUAUAUUAAUCACAUCUUAACCAAUUAUUAAUAUUAUUAAUCAAUUAAUAAUAUUUUAAUCAAUAUUUAAUAUCUUAACAAUUCAUAAAUAUUAUUAACCAUUUAAUAAUAUUUUAAUCAAUUAAUAAUAUUAUUAAUUAUUUAAUAAUAUUUAAAUUUAAUAUAAUAUUAUUAAUCAUUUAAUAAUAUUUUAAUUUAAUUUUAAUCUAAUAUUAUUAAUUAUUUAAUAAUAUUUUAAAUCAUUAUCUAUUAUUAUUAAUUAUUUAAUAAUAUUUUAAUUAAUUUCUCAUCUAAAUAUUAUUAAUUACUUAAUAAUAUCUUAAUUUAAUAUUAUUAAUCUCUUAAUAAUAUUUUAAUCAUUUGUUAUACUAAUAAAAAAUUUAUUCUAAUUGUUUACCCUUUACUAAUUACUUUAUUUAACAACCCUAAUAUGUCAUAAAUAUAACAUCUCAUCAAAAAUGACCAAACUAGCCUAAAAAAAUCUGGACACNNNNNNNNNNNNNNNNNNNNNNNNNNNNNNNNNNNNNNNNNNNNNNNNNNNNNNNNNNNNNNNNNNNNNNNNNNNNNNNNNNNNNNNNNNNNNNNNNNNNGCCGUUAUUUUUAUAAAAAGAUAAUUCUAUCAUUUUUUAACUAUGACAAUACUUCUAUUGUGGGGUCCACCAAUGAUUGUGCCGUCAUACGGAUAUCACUUAAUAAUAUUUCGUAUAUUAAUCACAUCUUAACCAAUUAUUAAUAUUAUUAAUCAAUUAAUAAUAUUUUAAUCAAUAUUUAAUAUCUUAACAAUUCAUAAAUAUUAUUAACCAUUUAAUAAUAUUUCGUAUAUUAAUCACAUCUUAACCAAUUAUUAAUAUUAUUAAUCAAUUAAUAAUAUUUUAAUCAAUAUUUAAUAUCUUAACAAUUCAUAAAUAUUAUUAACCAUUUAAUAAUAUUUUAAUCAAUUAAUAAUAUUAUUAAUUAUUUAAUAAUAUUUAAAUUUAAUAUAAUAUUAUUAAUCAUUUAAUAAUAUUUUAAUUUAAUUUUAAUCUAAUAUUAUUAAUUAUUUAAUAAUAUUUUAAAUCAUUAUCUAUUAUUAUUAAUUAUUUAAUAAUAUUUUAAUUAAUUUCUCAUCUAAAUAUUAUUAAUUACUUAAUAAUAUCUUAAUUUAAUAUUAUUAAUCUCUUAAUAAUAUUUUAAUCAUUUGUUAUACUAAUAAAAAAUUUAUUCUAAUUGUUUACCCUUUACUAAUUACUUUAUUUAACAACCCUAAUAUGUCAUAAAUAUAACAUCUCAUCAAAAAUGACCAAACUAGCCUAAAAAAAUCUGGACACAUCAUAUUUAGGGUCUCUAAGUCAUAAAUUUAUAUUUUUGCCAUUUAUGACAUCACAUAACUUACUAUUCUUAUUUAUUUAUAACUCAAACACAUCCAUGAAAAUUACUGAAAAUAGUUCUGAAAAUUCUUAUUUUCUGGAAAAUAUCAGUAAUUGGUAUCAUGAUGAAAAUAUAAUUUUUCUAGAAUUUUUGGAUUUCAUUUAGUAUUUUUAAAAUGACCAAAAUAGUCAGAUCUUGCAACAAUUAUCAUGAACAAUUUUUAAGUCCAACCAUUACGAAAUUUUCAGGAGUUAUUCCUGUUAUGUAUAUGUACUUCCAGUAAAAUUUCACAAUAUUUGGAGGUACACAGAAAAAGUUAUUUUGUUUUACUUUUAAAAUAGUCCUUCCUUGUAAAAUCCAUAACUCUCAUUCUACACAUCCAAAAAUAGCCAUCUUUGGACUUGAUCUAGAUAACUCAUCAUACUAUCCUACCAAAAUUUUACAGAAUUUUUAAAGUUAAUAAAAAUGACGAAACUGCUCCUGCAAAAACAGGCCAGAAAUUGCCCUUUAACAUUUUUAGUGCUACCACUUGGGUUUAACAGUUAACUUGCAUAUCUAGCACCCCUCUUUUACGGAUCACAAAAAGAAGGUGUAGAUUUAAAAUGGUGGAUUUUUAAAGUAGAGAAAGAUUAGGAUUUUCUAAACUAGAAAACCUAUAUUUCUUUUCUACCUUUUAAUCAACAUAUAAACAUUCAAAAUGGUUAGAUCUAAACAUAAAAUACUCAUUAAUAUGUAGAUCUAAUGUUUUUGAGUUUAGAAUCAUAAAUCCAAAUUUUAAUUUAAAACGACUAAAAUAAAUUACAUAAACUAGUUUAGGAUUUUUAAUUUAUACCUUGUGUAGAUGUUCUUCUUUCUUCUUCUUCUAAGGCUUGCUAUGGAAUUUGAUGAUUUACAAAAACUCACUCUCUCUUUCUUAAGGCAUGGCUGCCCCUCUUCUUUUAUUUCUCUCUAUAAUAUUUUCUCUCUUUUAGGAACUUAGAAAAAUGAAGUAAAACUUUUAUUUGCA